AUCGAACGCUGGCGGCAGGCCUAACACAUGCAAGUCGAGCGGAGCGGCGGACGGGUGAGUAAUGCCUAGGAAUCUGCCUGGUAGUGGGGGAUAACGUCCGGAAACGGGCGCUAAUACCGCAUACUAUCAGAUUAGCCUAGGUCGGAUGAGCUAGUGGGUGGGUUAAUGGCCUACCAAGGCGACGAUCCGUAACUGGUCCGAGAGGAGGAUCAGUCACACGGGAACUGAGACACGGUCCAGACUCCUACGGGAGGCGGCAUGGGGGAAUAUUGGACAAUGGGCGAAAUCCUGAUCCAGCCAUGCCGCGUGGGUGAAGAAGGUCUUCGGAUUGUAAAGCACUUUAAGUUGGGAGGCGGUACCAACAGAAUAAGCACCGGCUAACUUCGUGCCAGCAGCCGCGGUAAUUC
rnacentral:rRNA from 1 species